GAGGAUCAGGGCAUAGGAAAUCAUUAAAAGGGCUCAGAUACCACUCGAUGGAAAGAACUCAAUUAGUACCAAACCUCUGUGCAGCAGCACUGGGUGCUGGAAGACCAUGUAACAAUGACUUUAACCCUUGAGUUCUCUAUCCGGUAAAACCACCAACUGAUAACAGGAGAAAGUGAAAAGAGAAUAGAGAGAGAGAUUAGCAUGCAAGUACUCCGAAAACUUUUCCUGAACAUUCUCUGGAAAAAAAUAACUAGAAUAUAAUAUUUUACCUAUUAAAAUACUCUGGAAAGAAUGAUGCCAUAGCAUUCGAGGAACAGUGGAUCUAGUUUAGGAAAACAAAAUGAAGAAGCCCCAGGAUGACAAAUGUGUCUAUGAGGCCACUAGUUUGGUUAUCACAGGGGAACCACAGAAUUCUAAGAACGCCUUUAAGAAGUGAGGAUGUCCUCUGUCAAAUAAGGUUGUUAGGAGACUGGAUGAGAAUAAUAAGAAAAUGAAGGCAUAGUCUUAUCUUAUUAAAAAUACAAAAGAAAAAACUAAAAAGGAGGAAGGUGUAAAAACUCCAGAGAAAACAAGUUUUGAAUAAAAAAAUCUGUGGUUCAAAUAUGAAGGAAAAAUGCAUGUGUGGCAUGAUUGUAAUCGCUUGAUAAAAUGUAAGAAACUUAUAUCAUAUUUGUUUUGUAUGCAGGAAAUAUUCUCAGUUAAAAGGAUUAUUUGCAGACAGAGGAAAACAUCCUUAUCUAUAGCUCCAAUCCUCAUCUCUUCAGAAACUGCUCCUGAAAAAGGCCUGAAAAUAACGUAGACAAAGUAAUUAGUGGAUGGAGUUAUCAGAAGAUUUCAAGAGAUUUUCCUAUUAUCAUGUUGGUUUUCAUGCAAGCAAUACAACCCUCAUCAUAUUUCCUCGUUCUUCUGAACAAUAGAAGAAGGAGAGAUGCUACACCUCUGUGCUUCCAAAAAUUUAGCCAAUGGAAAACAACAACGGACCUAAUUCAAAUGAGUAAUUCACCCUUUGGAUUUGGGUUGGAGAUAUCUGAAGUGAGUCAGAACUGAACAGAAGUCACUAUUUAGGACAUAUUUUCCCCAGAGUGUGAAACAGGAUUAGGAAAUCCU
rnacentral:lncRNA from 1 species